AUGGCCUGGAACUCAGAGAUAAGCACGUCCCCAUUUCCAUUCAAGAUUGCCGACAAAGCAGCUGAAGCAGACAGAACAAGAGAAUGUUAUGAUCUAUCCCCCUUUUUUCCUUGUAUGUACAUGCAUGGUGGUGAUACCUGUAUAAUUUGGUUUUGUGAUGCAAUGGAUCAUGGAUCUUUGGGCUGCAAUUCUAAAUUUUCCGAGAAAGAAUUCGGUAGUGGGGUUAAUUUUAAGAUGUGCAAUGGGAAACCUUAUCUUUAUUCCCACAUAGUGUUACUUGUGAGAGCAGGUACUCUGUUUAUCUUUCGCUGGAACCGAAGAUGA
rnacentral:rRNA from 1 species